UACAGAGGGUGCUAGCGUUGUUCGGAAUUAUUGGGCGUAAAGGGCGCGUAGGCGGCCCUGUGUGUCGGGUGUGAAAGCCCACCUCUUAAAGGUGGAAUUGCAUUCGAAACUACAGGGCUGGAGUGUCGGAGAGGAUGGCGGAAUUCCGUGGUGUAGAGGUGAAAUUCGUAGAUAUCAGGAGGAACACCGGUGGCGAAGGCGGCCAUCUGGACGACAACUGACGCUGAGGCGCGAAAGCGUGGGGAUCAAACAGG
rnacentral:rRNA from 1 species